AUUCUCGUCUUAAUCAACUAUCAACAAAUUGUCCUAAGCUUGAAAAAUGGAUAGGAAGAGGGGUGAGAUUAUGAUUACAUAAUCCCAGUGAGUAAACAAUUACCAUCAAAAGCAUCUAAAGCCGAGUAGAUGGAGACAAUAUAAAAACGUUAUAUCUCAAUAAUGUUCAUAACACAAAUUUCGUUUCAAUCUAUACCAAACAAUUUAUUUUCAUCAAAAUUUCUCGGCUUAUGAAUUUCUUAAAUUUGGCCCCUGCCAAAAUCAUUCUCGCGGGUACCUUCGUCAAGGUAUCCCACUAAGACCGCCAAGGCUGUUCAAUGACCCAUACCCAUAAACAUGUUUUCACAUCUAACACACAACCGUUCCUUGGCGUUGGCUGAGUCUCACUCUCACGUGGUGGCCCAAACGUGAGGUGCACUCAAAUCAUACCUCAGGAGAUACUUCACCCAACAUCUCCCCCCGGAGGUAAAUAUAUAAUUGAGUUACUGUGCUCUUCUCAUAGGCAGUCCACGAAAACCCACACCACUGCAGUGACCGUGAGGUGCAUUCAAAUCUUACCUCAAGAGAUACUUCAUCCAACAUCUCCCCCCGGAGGUAAAUAUAUAAUUGGGUUACCGUGCCCCUCUCAUAGGUAGUCCACGGAAACCCCCACCACUGCAGUGACCGUUUAAUAUA
rnacentral:lncRNA from 1 species